ACCCGAAAAACCUCACCAGGUCUUGACAUGCUUUUGCAAAGCUGUAGAAAUACAGUGGAGGUUAUCAGAAGCACAGGUGGUGCAUGGUUGUCGUCAGCUCGUGUCGUGAGAUGUUGGGUCAAGUCCCGCAACGAACGCAACCCUUGUUGUUAAUUGCCAUCAUUAAGUUGGGGACUUUAGCAAGACUGCCAAUGAUAAAUUGGAGGAAGGUGGGGACGACGUCAAAUCAUCAUGCCCCUUAUGACCUGGGCUACAAACGUGAUACAAUGGCUGUUACAAAGGGUAGCUAAAGCGUAAGCUUCUGGCGAAUCUCAAAAAAGCAGUCUCAGUUCGGAUUGAAGUCUGCAACUCGAUUUCAUGAAGUUGGAAUCGCUAGUAAUCGCGAAUCAGCAUGUCGCGGUGAAUACGUUCUCGGGGUUU
rnacentral:rRNA from 1 species